UACAGAGGGGGCAAGCGUUAUUCGGAAUUAUUGGGCGUAAAGGGCGCGUAGGCGGCUUGGCAAGUGGAAGGUGAAAUCCCUCGGCUUAACCGAGGAACUGCCCUCCAAACUGCUUCGCUUGAGACCGGGAGAGGUGAGUGGAAUUCCCAGUGUAGCGGUGAAAUGCGUAGAUAUUGGGAGGAACACCAGUGGCGAAGGCGGCUCACUGGACCGGUACUGACGCUGAGACGCGAAAGCGUGGGGAGCAAACAGG
rnacentral:rRNA from 1 species